UACGGGAGGCAGCAGUGGGGAAUAUUGCACAAUGGGCGAAAGCCUGAUGCAGCUAUGCCGCGUGUAUGAAGAAGGCCUUAGGGUUGUAAAGUACUUUCAUCGGGGAGGAAAACAAAACUAAUAAUUUUAUUUCUUGACGUUACCCGAAAAAGAAGCACCGGCUAACUCCGUGCCAGCAGCCGCGGUAAUACGGAGGGUGCUAGCGUUAAUCAGAAUUACUGGGCGUAAAGAGCACGUAGGUGGUUUUUUUAAGUCAGAUGUGAAUCCCUGGGCUUAACCUAGGAACUGCAUUUUGAAACUGAAAUACUAGAGUAUCGUAGAGGGAGGUAGAAUUCUAGGUGUAGCGGUGAAAUGCGUAGAUAUCUGGAGGAAUACCUGUGGCGAAAGCGGCCUCCUAAACGAAUACUGACACUGAGGUGCGAAAGCGUGGGGAGCAAACAGGGAUUAGAUACC
rnacentral:rRNA from 1 species